CCGGCGCACGGUGAGUAACGCGUAUCCAACCUGCCUUACACUCUUGGACAGCCUUCUGAAAGGGAGAUUAAUACAAGAUGUUAUCAUGAGUAAGCAUUUUCACAUGAUUAAAGGUUUACCGGUGUAAGAUGGGGAUGCGUUCCAUUAGAUAGUAGGCGGGGUAACGGCCCACCUAGUCUUCGAUGGAUAGGGGUUCUGAGAGGAAGGUCCCCCACAUUGGAACUGAGACACGGUCCAA
rnacentral:rRNA from 1 species